rnacentral:lncRNA from 1 species
GAGUUUUGUGCUCAUCGACAAAGAAAAUAUGGAAAUGAACGAACCUUACCUCAGACUAAUUGGAGUUUCAUGCAUAAAAUUAAUAGCUGCUCUCUUAGUUUAUGUGGCUGUUGUAUCAAUGACUGAUGGUGGGUCAUGGCUUGGUAGUACGUGUUGAGGGGAAGUAAGUUACUGAACAAAAAUGUUUAGGAGUGGUAAAGCAAAUUCUGAGGCAUCUUAGUAUCUCAGUUUACACAGAAAUCUAAGUUAGAAAGGUCCCACCCCACUUCUUGUCCUUUGUUACUAUUGUAGUGAGCUCCAUUAACUCUGGAAUUUUGUUAUCAUUAACAAAAUGAAAACGUUCGUUACUUAUGUCUCUACAUUCAGGUGUUCAGAUGGAUGCAAAAGCUGCGGUGGUACAUAGCGGACAAUGGGGGUCUAUUCUAAGUUGAUAUUAGUUAUGGGAGAAAAGGGGCAAACUCAGAUGGACACUGGCUUUUUCUGAGAUGCAUAAUAGUGGUUGUAGGCCUGAUACAUCGGUCUUCAAUGCACUGAUCACUGCUCACACCUUCACUUCCGGGAUAAAUCUAAGGCGGUGGCCAAGGAUCUGGGAUAUUUUGACAAGAUGAAGCGAAUGGAGCGUUUUAAACCCAAUGUUGUAACAUAUGACAUCCUUUUGCGAGCUUUUUCUCAGGCAAAAAAUGUUGGUCAAGUUAAAUGUUUUGUUUAAAGAUCUUGAUGAGAGCAUUGUGACCACCCCAGAUUUUUCACAUAUAAUGGUGUGAUGGAUGCCCAUGGAAAAAAUGGGAUGAUCAGGGAAAUGGAAUCUGUGCUUUCUAUUAUGAAGAGCAAUCAGUUGAAGCCAGACAUCAUCUCAUUUAAUUUGUUGAUCGAUUCCUAUGGGAGCAAGCAGGAGUUUGAAAAGAUGGAACAAGUGUUCAAGUGCUCGUUGCUUUCUAAUCACAAACCAACACUUCCUACAUUCAAUUCCUUGAUCACAAACUAUGGAAAAACACGUCUCACAUCGUAAUAAGACACUUACACGUGAUAAAGUUUGGUUUAUAUCCCAUACAUCUAUGCAAAAACCCCGUCUUUCGCGAACGCACCAAACACAUUGAUGUUAGAUUACAUUUUAUUAGAGAUAUUGUGUCACAAAAAGUGGUAAGACUUGAAAAGAUACAUACACAGUAUAACCCAUCGGACAUGGGCAUUAAGGUGAUGUCAUUGGUGAAGUUUAGAAAUUGCAUGGAUCUUCUAAACAUUGGUGGAGGUAAUUAAUUUUUAAUUUUAUUGAUUCCUAAUAUUAGAAGUAUUAUAAACAGGUAAGGAUGUCAACAAGUCGAGUCGAAAUUCUAGGCUCAGGAUUGGCUGGAGUAAAAUGUCCAAACUUUUUUUCGGGCCCAAGCCGUUGCUCGACAAAAAAAUUAGGCUCGACCCGAGCUGUCUUUUCGAGUCAAGCCAGGUCAGCUUGGUUUUUUUUUUUUUUUUUUUUUUUAAACUAAAAAGCUCGUCUCGACUUUUUUUUUUAAACUAAAAAGGCAGCGGCAGUAACUGCUACCUUAAAUGGUAGCAACUAAAAUUUUAGUUGCUGCCAAACAAGGUAGCAAACUGUUGCCCAUUUUUGGCGGCAGCACGUUGCCUUAAAAGGUAGCGUGUUGUUGUCUUUACUUUUUUUAAAAAAUAUAUGCUCGGUUUUUUCGAGUCGUCGAGCCACACGGGCUGGUUCGGGCUUUGUCCGGUACCUAAAAAUGGGACUUGGACAGAGUCUCGAGCUUUUUCCGAGUCGACGAGCCCGAUUGCUAUUCCUAUUAACAGGUGAUAAUGUUUUCUUUUUAGGUCUUUUGACACAAAGGUGAAGGUUUGUUAAGCAAAUUGUUGCCAAAUAACCUCCCCGGGCUAUAAUGUAACUUGGUAAUUUUCUCAAUCGGCAUCGAUCUAAUAAUUGAAGGAUAGAUUGACGCCAAAGUGAAAUGACUUGAUCUAAAAACUGUUUGGGCCAUUUGAAACAGCCUAAUUUUAAUUAGAGCUGCUUACGGCCCAUUUCGCGGCUAAUAUUAGAUAACCCAUUUAUGUGCCCAUUUAUAUCCAUAAUGGGCUCGACACCCUAAUUGAUACCUAUAUAUUCUUUGGGGCACUUGUCCUCUUGGUAAUAUGAAUUCACCCCUUUCUCUCUUCUCCGUGUGGGACUCUCUCUGUGUGGGUCUUUCUUACCGUUUUCUUCAUUGCCUUCGUGGUUAUCUCUCAUCUUCAUGAUUAUACUUUUCAUUACACAUCUUAAGUGGGUGAACUAAAGAGCAACUGUGAUCAAGAGGGUGGUUUGAGGGAUUUUGGAUGAUUUGCAUAUUGGUGUUGAUUUGAGGAGAAACUGAGCCCGGUUCAAGCCUUGGUGGUCAUCAUCUUCUGCACAACACUGUCACUCUCUUAAGUUACUUGGGGUUUCUUGGUAACUCUUGAUUCUAAGAUUAUACGAGAUGAUAAUUCAGAUAUGUCAUACUGAAUUGGAAGUCAACUUGUACAAAGAAUGUCAAGAAGGAAACUCUUCUGACAAGUUAUUUAAAUGGCUUAGAAAUCAGCAUAAAUUAUUACAGAAUUUUGGUGAUAAAUAACUAACUGGAAUAUCCCUUUUUUUCCCUUAAUAAAAAGUAAUUGGUUUAUCUUGUGUGUAUACUAUAACUUAGAGACAUUUCAGAAAUACUAAUAUAUGGUCUUGCUCUUGCUGUAUUGUGAAGAUUAGAUGAUUUCAGAAGUAAGAAAUUGGAGCUUCACUUUUACCUCAAUAAAAAGGCUUUCUCUUGAUAUUAUUUUUUAACCUGAUUCAGAAGCCCAUAACAAAAAUGACAAUGAGAAGCCAAUCUUCCAGCUUAUGAUCAUCUGUCAUUCUUAUGCAAAAGAAAUUUCUUGCAAUUAGGUUGUCAAUGUCUCAGGGUUCAUUAAUAUCUACCAUGAUUAACAUCCUUAUGAAUUGAAUCUGAAAAUAAUUAAAUUUGACAACUUAAAAACUUUAAUUGAGAUACUUGUGUUUUGCAUCUUGAGCAGAAUUAUAAAAACUAAAUUUUGGUUUAGCUUUCUUCGAAUUGGAUUUUUAGUUUUUGAAUUUCUAAUUCUUGAAAUAAAAUUGAAUAAACUAAAUUCAUUCAUUUUAUACAUCAAUUAAUUUGUGUGACAUUAUAAGUAAUAUUCAUGUUUAGUACAUUCUUUCACAUAUAGGUGGGAAUGCAUGAACUCACUUAUUGACGAAGAGAUAUUUCAUAAAUAGGGUGGAGUUAUAGGCUUAUAGUAGAUAUCUUGGGCACAUUCCAAAUGAAUUACAUCUGAUAUUGACAUAGAAAGCCUUCUCACAAGAAAAAGUAAAUCUCAUAGUAAAUUUAAUGAUUUGAGAUAUGGUCGAACUAGUUUAGUUAAAAUUUAACACGAUUGUGUAAUUGAGAGUGAAUAAAGGAAUGAUGUGUUCUCAGUCAAACAAAGUGAGAAGAGGAAGGUUAGAGCAAAAUUAAUGUCAUGUUGCUUUAAUCUUCCAUUUGAUUAGAGCAAAAUUAAUAUGUCAUGUUGCUUUAAUCUUCAUUUGAUUGGAAUUGAACCGAAAUGCGUAAAAGGAUUUAUGUACUUGAAGCCGGCUUAGCCAUUGGCUAUUGACUCAUCCCCUUGUCUACAAUCCUUAGGUCUAUUGGUGCCUUCUCUAAGACCCAUGGUAUACUCUUAUCAGUUAACAUUUAAUACCUCUCUCCUCACUUUCACUAAGGAAAUGCUCUUGAGCAUGGCUUUACCUAGCCGACCUCAAAUUUAUCGGAAGGAGGCUUACUUUGUUGUUGUUGUUGUUGUUGUUGUUGUUGUGUAUAUAUAUGUAUAUUUUAGCGUCAACUCAAGCCUCUGUACUUAUUUGUGCCCAUACCAUUUCUGAUGAGUUUCCUUGGUUCUUUUGCCACAGGUACAAAUUUCCGAGAACAAGUGUAUGAAUGUUUUUAGACAUGCUACUAAUUCAAAGAUGCAUCUUUAAGUGAUGAAAAAUGCUGUAGAGGUGAUAUCUUAGGACAUACUUUGGUACACGUAACAUGGAUAUGUUAUAUGCUGUCAUGCUAAUGUUCCUUGCUCUCUAAACAAGCUUUUGAUUUGUACUCCAUCCGUCUCAUAGAGAUAGACGUGCUUUCCUAUUUCGUGUGUCUCAAAAUAUAAGCCACAUUUUUUCUUUUAUUGUUUAUUAUUUUUAUAUUUUGGGUAACUCAGGUGUUCGAGUUUCACUCAACUAAUUUCGAGAAGUGACAACCUUCCCUCUUGGUUUGCUAUUCGGGUAAAUUCGGAUGUGGCUACAGCUUAUACAUAUUUGGACCGGACAUCGGGGAUGCAAUUAUUCCUGUGGAUCGGACUUUCUUUUACGACUUUUGGAUAAGACUCCGGAGGGAUGAUAAAGUAUACCAUAACUCUGUAUCUACAUGACGAUAUCCUUCCAACAUAAACGUUGCCACUUUUCUUAUCAAGAAUGUAGUUGAUUUUUUAUUUUUCUAAUAUGUCCUUAUUUAAUAAGCAUUGUUAUUAACAUAUAUGAACUACUCAUAUUUAAACUAUUAUUGAAUUUAAGAGUAUAUUAGAACAAAUAUUGAGAGAAAAUUAUAUUAAUUACAUUUUCUUAAUCUGUGUAAAAGUGAAAUAAGCCUAUUUUUAUGGGACGGAUGGAGUAUUAUUCUUUUGUUUGUCAAUUUUGAUUCCUUCAUUUCCUUUAGCAUGGCAUUUGUAGCGUCCCAUUUUCUAUCAUGCAUGUAAGUUACUUUUGCUUUCUUGUUUUAAUGACUUAAAAAUUUAGCAGGCGUUUUGCUCUUCAGUGCCG